ACAAAGGUAGGUUAUAUAAACCACUGAACUGUGGAUUCAGAAAUGUAUUAAAGUACCCUUCUUC
rnacentral:tRNA from 1 species